rnacentral:rRNA from 1 species
GACGAACGCUGGCGGCGGGCUUAACACAUGCAAGUCGAACGGAAAGGCCCUGCUGUUGUAGGGUGCUCGAGUGGCGAACGGGUGAGUAACGCGUGAGUAGCCUGCCCUUGACUUUGGGAUAACUUCAGGAAACUGGGGCUAAUAACGGAUAGGAGCUCCUGCUGCAUGGUGGGGGUUGGAAAGGUUCGGCGGUUGGGGAUGGACUCGCGGCUUAUCAGCUUGUUGGGGGGGUAGUGGCUUACCAAGGCUUUGACGGGUAGCCGGCCUGAGAGGGUGACCGGCCACAUUGGGACUGAGAUACGGCCCAGACUCCUACGGGAGGCAGCAGUGGGGAAUAUUGCACAAUGGGCGGAAGCCUGAUGCAGCAACGCCGCGUGAGGGAUGACGGCCUUCGGGUUGUAAACCGCUUUCGCCUGUGCCGAAGCGUGAGUGACGGUAAUGGGUAAAGAAGCACCGGCUAACUACGUG